UGCGAUUGACGCUGAGGCUCGAAAGUGCGGGUAUCAAACAGGAUUAGAUACCCUGGUAGUCCGCACUGUAAACGAUGGAUGCUCGUUCUGGGCGACAGACAGUCCGGGACCAAGGGAAACCAUUAAGCAUCCCACCUGGGGAGUACGCCGGCAACGGUGAAACUCAGAGGAAUUGACGGGGGCCCGCACAAGCGGAGGAACAUGUGGUUUAAUUCGAUGAUACGCGAGGAACCUUACCCGGGCUUGAACUGCACUAGACGAAUGUAGAGAUACAUUUUCCCUUCGGGGCUGGUGUGGAGGUGCUGCAUGGUUGUCGUCAGCUCGUGCCGUGAGGUGUCGGCUUAAGUGCCAUAACGAGCGCAACCCUUGCUGCCAGUUGCCAUCAUGUAGUGGUGGGCACUCUGGCGGGACUGCCAUCGCAAGAUGUGAGGAAGGUGGGGAUGACGUCAAAUCAGCACGGCCCUUACGUCCGGGGCUACACACGUGUUACAAUGGGGGGCACAGCGCGCCGCUACCCGGUGACGGGAUGCGAAUCGUGAAAUCCCCUCUCAGUUCGGACUGGAGUCUGCAACCCGACUCCACGAAGCUGGAUUCGCUAGU
rnacentral:rRNA from 1 species